AAUGAGUGUCAGAUAUCAACAGUCGUUCAGAUAACACAUAUAACGGUUACUGUCACUGUUAAAAUGUGCCUGCCCGUAUCGAACUGUUGUCUAUGUAUCAGCUUAAGUGUAGGAGCGAAAAUUGUAGCUGUUUUAAGUUUGAUUGUAUCCACAUGCACAGUGUUGGUGUACGGAGCGGCGGCCUUGCUGCCUCCAUCAUCAGUGCGGGAGACGCGUCGCAUCAGCUACGCGGCCAUCGCGCUGGCUGCCGGCAUCAAGCUCCUCAUGUCUUUCUUCAUGGUGUAUGGGGCGUUCAAAAAGCGGCCGAAGCUUCUGUUGCCCUGGCUGCUGACAGCUUGGUUCUAUUCCCUCGUACUCAUCGGCCUCUCACUCUUCGGCACCGUUCUGAUGGCACUGCAGUACGUUAGAGACUUGGACACCUCUGCGGAAGUCAGCACGAUGGUAGCUGUUUACUUCGUGUAUGCCAUUGUUCUGUACUACUUCGCGUCAGUGGUGAACAGCAGAAGGAAUGAAAUGAAUCGCGACGUGUUCACCUACACCGGCCAUCACUUGGUUGGACACAGAGUGUUGCCCAAGCAUUACUACUCAUAAAUCACCGCAGGGUACAUCAAGCCAUCGCGCCAGAAACAGAAGCCUCUAAUACCUUGUCAACUUAAAAUGGCACGUUGAAUACUGUUUUGAAUGGACGAUGGAGUUAGAGAGUUAUUACAGGAGGAAAUUUUAUAAAUAAAUGGAGUCGUUUUCGUGAAAGAGAACCUAUUACGUUAAGAAGUGAAUUUAUAUUAUUAAUGAAUAAAAACAUGAUUUUAAUUAA